rnacentral:piRNA from 1 species
AAAAUAGAAAAUAGGAAUAUGGAAUUAAG